rnacentral:rRNA from 1 species
GACGAACGCUGGCGGCGUGCCUAAUACAUGCCAGUAGAACGCACAGUUUAUACCGUAGCUUGCUUCACCAUAAACUGUGAGUUGCGAACGGGUGAGUCACGCGUAUGUAACCUGCCUGGUAGCGGGGGAUAACUAUUGUAAACGAUAGCUAAUACCGCAUAAUAUUAAUUAUUGCAUGAUACUUGAUUGAAAGAUGCAAUUGCAUCACUACCAGAUGGUCCUGCUUUGUAUUAGCUAGUAGGUGAGGUAACGGCUCACCUAGGCGGCGGUACAUAGCCGAGCUGAGAGGGUGAACGAGCAAAAUGGGACUGGGAAAAGGCUCAGACUCCUAACGGGGGGAGCAAGAGGGAAACAUCGGCAAUGGGGGGAAGUCUGACCGAGGAACGCCGGGGGAGGGAAGAAGGUUUUCGGAGCGUAAAGCUCUGUUGGAAGAGAAAGAAGGGUGUGAGAGUGGAAAGUUCACGCUGUGACGGUAUCUUAACAGAAAGGAACGGCUAACUACGUG